rnacentral:rRNA from 1 species
UAACACUAAAAUCUAUAUGAGAAAAUUUUAUAUAUAAAUAAAUUUUUAUGAUUUAAAAAAAUUUAAUUUAAAUUUAUUUUACAUGUAAAUUUUAGUGUUAAUUUUUAAUUAUUUUAAUAAUAAUUAUUAAUAUUUGCAGUAAUUAAAAUUAAAAAUUUAAGAAAUUAAGAUUUAGAAAUAUUUUGAUUAUUAACAAAUUUUGUGCCAGCAGUUGCGGUUAUACAAAAAAUAAUUUAAAUUUUAUCGGUAUAUAAUAAAUAAGAAUUAUUAUUUAAAUUAAAUAUUAAAUUAUUAAGUGAAAUUUUAAUUUAAUUAAAAUUUAUAUUAAUUUUAUGAUUUAUUAAAUUUUAUAAAAAACUAGGAUUAGAUACCCUACUAUUAAAAAUUAAAUUUAUAAUACUAAAAUAGUAGAUAAUAAUUUAUUGAAACUUAAAUAAUUUGGCGGUAUUUUAGUUCAUUUAGAGGAAUCUGUUUAAUAAUUGAUAAUCCACGAAUAAAUUUACUUAAUUUAUUAUUUUGUAUAUCGUUGUUAAAAAAAUAUUUUUUAAUAAAAAUAAUAUUUAAAAAUUUUUAUAUAAAAUUAAUUCAGAUCAAGAUGCAGAUUAUAAUUAAGAAUAUAAUGGAUUACAAUAAAUAAAUUUAAAUGAAUAAUAUUUUUUAAUAAAUAUUUGAAGGUGGAUUUAAAUGUAAUUUUAAUUAAUUUAUUAAAAUGAUUAUAUAUUAAAAUAUGUACAUAUUGCCCGUCGCUUUCAUUAAUAAAUUGGAAUAAGUCGUAACAAAGUAGAGGUACUGGAAAGUGUUUCUAGAAAGAA